AAAUAAAUAUGAAUACACUUUAGGAAAUUCAAGUUUGAGUCUUUGUUGUCUAAAGCUUGAACCUCGGUAGUGUUCUUUCUUCUGAUCUCUCUUCUUUUUUGUGUGAAUUCAACCCUUGAGAGUUGACUGUUGUUGAUUUUGGUCUCUAAAUGGCUAUCAAUAUGAUCCUACUUGGUUUUCUGCCCUGCAAAAGGUUAGUGCACAUUGACCUCCUUUUAUCUCACUUUAAUCAUGUAGUCCUAUAUUCGUAAUGUUUUUCUUGUCAAUCAUCCUUUGUUUGUGGUAUAUAUUAUACUUGUUAUGUCCUGUCUUUGUGUUCAAUCCUUAUGGUUAAUUCAUAAAAUUUCAGAUUGAGUUAUGUUGUUCUUGGUACUGUUAUCAACUUGUGUUGUUAAUUAAAGUUAUCUAUCAUGACUUAGCUAUUUGAAAGUGUUUUGAAUUGUUAUUCUCUCAUGACUAAAUCCAGUUAAUUUUCCUUACUAUUAAAUAGAUCAAAUAUUAUAUUAAUGAUAUUAUGUAAACCAAAACAAAUAAUUGCAUGAGCACUGUCAUGUCUGCUAAGCUAGUUGAAUCAUGUCCUCGAACCUUUCUUUGUAUCCAUGUAUCUCCAGAUUACUUGAACCUCCUACUUAUGAUGCUAUGUUGAUGUUACAAAUAUAUCCCAUGUACUCCAUGUUAUGUACUUAACAUGUCUGCCCUAGUAAUCUUGGUUGAUAAGUGUGUGAGGGAUGACCUACCUGUUUUAUACAUUUAUUGAUCCAUGUAUAGCUUUUACUUUUAGAUCCUUUAAAGCUUCAUGAUUAAUUAAAUCCUAUAUUAACUAUGAUGUAUGCGAUCUGUGGUCUAGUAAUUGGUUAUGCAGAUAAAAUGUAACGAUCUGAUCGAUCGUUUUAUGUAAUUACGCUCCGUUUUCCCUUUUUACACUUCACACAUAUAUGUUAAUAAUUUUAUAACUUGCAGGGUUAGUUAGUUCCAUUCCGGGAAGCUUUCGGGUUGAUUUGGACCUUUUAUUCUUGACUUAGAAAUUUAAAAAUGAUGAUCAAACUUUAACUUUUGUAAAAAUGACCCCGAAAUUGUAUUUUUAUGAUUCCGAUAGCUUCGUAUUGUGAUUUCGAACUUGGGCAUAUGCCCAGAAUUUGAUUUUGGAAGUCCGUAAAUUGAUUUAUGUGGAUUUGCCAAAAUUUGACAAUUUGAAGUUGAAAGGUUUGACCGUAUAUAGACUUUUAGCUAUUGAGCUCGAAAUUUGAUUUUGUGACAUGGAAUAAGUCCGUUAUGGUAUUUAGAACUUGUCUGCAAAAUUUGGUGUAGUUUGGAGUUGAUUUGAUAGGAUUCAGAUGUUUAGUUAUAAUUCUAGAAGUUCUUGAAAAUUUCUUUGCAAUUCAUGUGUUUUAGAGUUCAAUUCAUAGUUUUAGAUGUUAUUUUUUUGUUUUGAUCAUGCGAGCGAGUUCGUAUGAUGUUUUUAGAUUUUUGUGGAUGUUUGGUUUGGAAUCCCCAGGGUGCGGAUGAGUUUCGGACAUGUUCCGGAGUGGUUUGGACUGAAAUUGCAGAAAUCUGGUGUUUAGCGCUCUUUGCGAGCUUAGUGGGGGGUGGGGUGGGGGUGGGGGACUUAGGUAUCGCAACUGCGAUGCCAGGCUCGCAAAUGCGAAAAAGCUUCCCGGAGAGGGUAGUUCGCAUUUGCGAUAAUACAAUCGCAUUUACAAUGGAGACAAGCUUCACAAUUGCGACCUCCUCAUAGGGCUGACAGUGGCCGGUAGGAGAUGAUCAAAAGGGCUGGAAGUUGGGAUUUCACCUCUCAUUCUCACGUUUUUGAACCCUAGACUCGGUAGGAGACGAUUUGAAGAGGAGAUUUUCACCUACAAACCUUGGGUAAGUAAGUCUAAUCUAUUUCUAAUCAUAUUCCAUCAUUAUAUUUUAGAUUUUAACAUCAAAAUCAUGUGAAUCAAAGUGAAAAAUUGUGAAACCUUGUCAAGUUUUUGAAAAAUAAGAAGUUGAGUUUUGAGAGUCGAUUUGGACUCAGAUUUUGAAAUUAAUCACAUAUAUGAGCUCGUGAGGUCAUGGAUAGUCGGAAUCUACCAUUGAACCCGGGUUUUGACCAGCAAGCCCCGAGUUGACUUUUGUUGACUUUUUGGGAAAAGUGUAAAGAUCAAAGUUUUAUUUAUUGUAAUUAUUUUCUCUUGUAUUGGUUGAUGAUAUUGAGUUAAUUUUGGGUUAGAGUUGAGCCGUGUGGAGACGAGUUUUAAGGGAAAAGCAAUUUCUGAGGGUUGAGUUGCCCAAGUCGAGGUAAAUGUCUUGCCUAACUUCGUGUGGGGGAACUACCCCUUAGGAUUUGGUAUUGAUUAUGUCUUUUGUGCUAUGUGAAAACUGUGUUACGCAAGAUGACGAGUGGGUACACGGUUGUACGUGGUAUUUGACCCGUUUAUGCUACUUACAAUAAUUUCAUGCUUUAAUUGAAAUGUCAUAUCAUGUUCUAAAUUCUCAUAGUCAAUCUAUCCUUAUUUAUGUUGGUCUAUCCUUAGAUGCCUUAAUUGACUUGUUUAGCACUUGUUUUAUAUCCUACUUGAUAAAUUUCUCUCAUGCUCUAGUUGAACUUGUUGCCUCUUUUAUUAUUACAUGCUACAUCUUUAUUGCUAAAUAUCAUUAUUUGAAGUAAUUGUUCGUGUUAUCUCCUUCCUUAUUGAUUAUCAAUACUUGAAGCUAAUGUUAAUGUUAUCCCUUUCCUUGUUGAUUUCCAAUAAUUGAAGUCAUUGUUAUACGUUAUCUCUUCCAUUGUGAGUUAUCCUUAUUAUUAUCGUGGUUAUACAUUAUUUCUCAUUGUCGAGUUAUUGGUGCUGAAGUUGUGAAAGUCGUUAUCACGUUGCAGCAAAAUUGUUAUUGUUGAAACACCUUCUUUGUUGAGCAUUUUACAUUCAUUGUUGUUGUUGAUAUUAUUGUAUACAUUGUGGUGGAGUCGUGGGCUAUUAUUGUGGAAACAUUAAUAUUGUUAAUUUUUGGCAAGUUAUGAUAUAUGGGCACUUGUGGUGCGAGUUAUUAUUGUGAUAUGAUAUUGACGUGCAUGCAACAGUAUAAGGCUUGGGGUUAAUGUGCAUGUGGUAGUAUAAGGCGGUACUUAUGUGCGUGUUGCUUGUAGGGGAACUACGUGAAGCCACGCGACGUCAUAAGGUGGGAUAAAGUACGUGUAGCUAUCACGAAAAAAUUAUUUUCAAAACUUAUUACAAAUGUAAGGCUCACGCGGCAGUAUAAAGAAAGACUGUGAUUGAGAUUGUGAACUGUAAAUACGAGGCGGUACCUUGGUUAUGACUCUUGAUUUAUACGUGGCGGUACCUCGGUGGUGAUUCUUAUAGUACACGAGGUGGUACCUCAUUGUGAUAUUUUUGUUUAUCUUAUGUUGCAAAGGUCUUUCAGUUGUUUUGUUUUUCCUUGUCCUAGCAGUUAUUGUCCGUAUAUGAGCAUUUUGGUUCUCUUCAGUUGUUUCUUUAUGUUAAUUCCAUGUUAAAAUUUUCGGUAUUAGUUUAGGUUAUUAUCUUGUUUCGUAUCGGUUAUUUCUCUUUUUUCUAUUAUGAUUCGGUCUUUUGGUUUUAUUCUGCUUAUUUAUAUCCUAGUAGGUGUCUUGACCUGGUCUCGUCACUACUCUACUGAGGUUAGGCUUGAUACUUACUGAGUACCAUUGUGGUAUACUCAUACUACGCUUCUACACAAUAUUUGCACAGAUCCAGGUACGUCUGCCCGUACCGAACACUAGAGUUGAUUUGAGUUGUUGCUUGGAAACUUCAAGGUAUACCCGCUCCACGUCCGUAGGCCUCAGAGUCACCUUCCCUAUUUUACUUCCUGUUGUAUUUCUUUUAGACAGUGAUGUAUUAUAUAUUCUAGUUUAUUCUAUAG
rnacentral:lncRNA from 1 species